rnacentral:rRNA from 1 species
GACGAACGCUGGCGGCGUGCUUAACACAUGCAAGUCGAACGGUAAGGCCCUUCGGGGUACACGAGUGGCGAACGGGUGAGUAACACGUGGGUGACCUGCCCUGCACUUCGGGAUAAGCCUGGGAAACUGGGUCUAAUACCGGAUAGGACCACUGCCUGCAUGGGUGGUGGUGGAAAGCUUUUGCGGUGUGGGAUGGGCCCGCGGCCUAUCAGCUUAUUGGUGGGGUGAUGGCCUACCAAGGCGACGACGGGUAGCCGGCCUGAGAGGGUGACCGGCCACACUGGGACUGAGAUACGGCCCAGACUCCUACGGGAGGCAGCAGUGGGGAAUAUUGCACAAUGGGCGCAAGCCUGAUGCAGCGACGCCGCGUGAGGGAUGACGGCCUUCGGGUUGUAAACCUCUUUCAGCACCGACGAAGCGCAAGUGACGGUAGGUGCAGAAGAAGGACCGGCCAACUACGUGCCAGCCGCCGCAGUAA